CAGUAGCCGCGGGAACACGUAGGGUGCGAGCGUUAAUCGGAAUUACUGGGCGUAAAGCGUGCGCAGGCGGUGCUGCAAGACCGAUGUGAAAGCCCCGGGCUUAACCUGGGAACUGCAUUGGUGACUGCAGCGCUGGAGUAUGGCAGAGGGGGGUGGAAUUCCACGUGUAGCAGUGAAAUGCGUAGAGAUGUGGAGGAACACCGAUGGCGAAGGCAGCCCCCUGGGCCAAUACUGACGCUCAUGCACGAAAGCGUGGGGAGCAAACAGGAUUAGAUACCCCGGUAGUCCCUGUCUCUUAUAC
rnacentral:rRNA from 1 species